rnacentral:lncRNA from 1 species
GCAUGGGAGUGUAGUUUGUAGGAAGCUGCUACACCCUGGUGGCCUUCUGUUUUGUUGCACGGUUGUUCGGGUUCACGUAGGUGCAUCCCUGUCCCUAAGCGAACAGGCGACGACACGGGUAGGAGCGGUCUCAGAGGUCCAGGCCGGAAGUGGGCUGAGGCCCGCCCUUUCCUCUGUGCUGUGAAUCUCGUGCAGCGGAGGUGUUUGCUUAUCCCGCACCGCCCGCAGAUUCCAAGACCUUUCCAGUGGGUGGUGUCUGACAAAGAGAAACGCAAACCAUGGGUGAACUGCUGCUGUCCACACGGAGUGGAGGAAGGCAAGGCAAGGCCUAGGUGCUCAGUCAGUCAGCAGAGCAAACUUGGUGUACUCUGAAG